GAAGAGAUUGUGACAUAUCACUGAACUGAGCACCUUGGUGAUGUGACUAUCCUCUCUUGCUCAAGUGUCACAUAUUAUUGGUAUUGUGACAUACCUCUGUGACCAACACCUAUGGGUAGGAAAACUUCCACCCAGACUCAGCCCAAGGGACCCUCAUCACUUUUUUAAAAGAUAUGUGACUUGAAAAAUGUGACUGUCUUCUGCCUAUACCCUGCCCUCAGGGAAGAUUGUGGCAUAUUACUGAACUAGGCAACCUAGUGAUGUGUCUCUUCUGACAGGGGUUUGCCCACAUAGACAAUUGUGACAUAUCACUGGGCUCAGGACCCAGGUGAUGUGACUCUGCUGCCUGUUCCCAACGUUCAAGAGAGGAUUGUAACAUAUCCCUGGCCAAGAACUCAGGUGAUUUGACUCUCCUGCCUUGUCCCUGUCCUCAGAGAAGAUUGUGAUAUAUCUUCAGCCCCAAACCCAGGUCAUGUGACUUCCCCACUCGCUCCCUAUUCAGAGGAGAAACUAUUACAUAUAUCCUGGGCCAGCUCACAGGUGUGAUGACAAUUCUCAUACCUCAAACAAGCCAAUAGAAGAGAUACUGUUUCUCAUUGCUAGGCUUAGAAAAACUGGUAAAAUACCUGUGUCUCUUUGUAUGAAGGUCAUAGAGAACUACCACAAACUUGUAUAUGGAAUAAAACCCUUCAGUGGUACAGAGAGUGUCAUCACAUGUCCCAAAACAAAGAGGAUAUUGCGUUUCUUGUAUGCACAUCCAGCCAGCUGUUAGGAUUGUCACCCUAACACCUGGAUACAACCCAUUGGUGAGGUCUUGUGUCUCACAUGCAGAUGCAAUCUACAGUUUGAUUCCUGACUGUCAUAUGUAAACACCUGUCCAAAGUUGGGAUGCUGACUCAUUUCUAGACCCAGCUCAUAGACAAGUGAGGACUCUCCUGUCUGGGUCCAGUCAAUUUGAGAAAUAUUGACUUUUCUACCUGGGCUUAGGGAGCAGUACAAAGGUCUCAGGGCAAAUUGUGGCUCUCAUUCCUAUUCUACAAUGAUCUUGGGUAGUAUAGAGAAUGUCCUAACAGGGUUCAGCACACAGGUAAGAUUGUGACAGUGAUAUCCACACCCAGCUGACAGUAAAAAUUGACAUCUUUCCUCAUGAAUACAGCCCACUGAAUACAGCCCACUGUUGAGGCAUUGAAUCUCAUAACCAAAGGCAGUGGAAAAUUGAAACAUUGUCUCUUGCUUGUAGACCCAAUCCACAGGUGGAUUGGUUACUCUCAGAUCAAAAUUCAGCACACUUAUGAGGCCAUCACUCCAGUAAGAAAACAGAAUUUGCAGAACAAAUUGAGGCUUCCAUGCACAAAUUCAGCCCACUACUGAGACUGUGACUCAUUUACUUAGACCCAACAUAUAGGAAGUGUUGACUCUUAUACCUAGAAUUGGGACAUGUGUAAGAUUGUUCAUCUUUUCCUUAGACUUUCCUGCAGGAGUGAUGCUGACAUGUUCCUCUAUUUGGCAUCUGAGUGAUAUGACCCUUGCCAUGGUCUAGCCCACAGAUGGAAUUGUGAUGUGUUGCUCUACCCAGCACCUAGGUGAUGUGACUCCAUUUUUCUGCCUUGACACUGUCCAUAAAAGGUAUUUUGACAUAUCUCUGGGAUAUGUACCCAGGUUACAUGACUCUCCUGCCUGUGUCCUGUCCACAAAUUAUGAAAUAUUACUGGGUCCAACACCCAGGGAUGUAACUCUCAUGCCUAGGCCCUGCCAACAGGGGGCAUUAUGACAAAUCUGUGUGCCAAUAACCCAGGUAAUGUGACUCUCUUUUUUUGCAUGGUCCCUGCUCACAGGGGGCAUUAUGACAUAUUGCUGAACUCAGCAUCUAACUGAUGUGAUUCUCCUUUCUACUUUUUGCCCACAGUGGAGAUUGUGACAUAUCACUGGGCCUCAAACUAAUGUGAUGUUACACUUUCAUUUUUGAACUGAACUCAGAAGGCACUGUGACAUAUUCCUGGGAACAGCACCAAGGUUAUCCCACUGUUGAGGUCCUGAAUCUCCCACCCAGAGGCAGUGGAAAGUUGGAGAAUUAACUCUCAUGCGUGGAUCUGAUACAUAGGGUAUUGUGACAUAUUGCUAGGCCCAUUAUCUAGAUGAUGUGACUCUCUUUGCUUGCCUGUGCACCACCCAAAAGGGACAUUGUGACACAUCUCUGAACCAAUUUCCUACAUAAUAUGCCUCUUCAUUGCUGCCUGAGAAAUGCCCCCAAAGAGGAUUGUGACAUGUCUCUGGGCCCAGAACCUGAAUGUUGUGACUCUCCUGCCUUGACAUAGAGGAAAUAUUAUGAUAUGUCACUCGGCCCUGCACACAAAUGAUGUUACUCUCCUGCCUGGGCCUUGCUUAUAGAGGGGAUUGAGACAUUUUACAGGUGAAGAAUUCAAGUGACAUCAUUCUCAUUUCUCAGCCUUUCCUGCAGGUAAGAUUGUGACAUAUUACUUAGCCCAGCACACAGAUGAAAUUUUUCCGCUUGUAUGCAAACCCAGCCAACAGGGGCUAUUGUCACCAUAACACAUGAAUAAAGACCACUGUUGAGGUCCUGAAUCUUAUAUGUGAACACAUCAACAGUUGGAAUCGUGACUGUCAUAUGUAUAUCUUGCCGUAAGUGGGAUGGUGACUCAUUUCUGGACUCAGCUCACAGGAAUAGUGAUGACUCUGAUACCUGGACCAAGCCAGUAAGAGAGAUGUUGACUCUGGGGUCAACCUAGACUUAGGGGUCUGGGUCUUUUACUUGUAGGAAGGCAACAGAAGAUUAUGAAACUUACACAUAUGGUAUAAAGCUCUUGGGGAAUACAGAGUGUCAUUACAGGGCCCAGUCCACAGGUGAGAUUGUAACCCUCCUAUAUACAUCUGGCCAACAAUUUGAAUUGCCACCUUCACAUAUAGACCGAGCCCAUUGCUGAGGUCCUGAAUCUCACACAUAAACCUAUUUCACCAUUGAAAUUGUUACUGUCAUAUGUGGAUUCAGCCACAGGUUGGAUGAUGACAAAUUUCUGAACCCAACCCACUUGCACAAUGAACCCAGCCAGCAGAAGAUGUGUUGAUUUUGAGGCUUAGGGCAAGAAGCAAGGUUUUGUGUUUCUCACUUGUAUGAAAGUCACAGAAAAUUUUCAAACUCACUCAUGUUGUAUAAUGCCCUCAGGUUGUACGGAGAGUGUCAUUACAUAACUCAGCACAAAGUGGAGAUUGUGACUCUCAAGCGCACACCAAGCCAAGAGUAAAAAUUGUCAUAGACACACAUAGACAGAACCCACUGGUGAGGUCUUGAAUCUCAUUCUCAGAUGAGUCUACAGUUUGAAUUUUUAAUGUCAUGUUUGGAUCCAGCCACAGGUGGGAGAGUGACUCAUAUCUGAACCCAACUAAGAGGCACAGUCAUGAUUUUCAUACCUGGACCCAGCCAAUAUGAGAGGUGUUGACUCUCAUACCUGGACUUAGGAAAAGAGCCCACAGUAAAAAGUGUCACCCUCCCACAUGAAUAGAGACCACUGAUGAGCUUCUGAAUUGUACAUCUGGAUGCAGUUGAAAGCUGGAAUUCUGAUUCUCGUAUGUGCAUUUUGUCCAGAGGUAGAUGAUGACUCUAGGAUCAGGGUUCAUCACACAGGCCAUGCCAGUUGAGGGGGAUUGUGACAUAUCGUUGGACCAGCACAAGGGAAAUUGAAAACUCCUGCCUAGGCCAUUCCCAUAGAAGGCAUUGUGACAUAUCACUGGUCACAGCACACAGGUGAGAAUUUUACAUAAAACUGCACCCAGCACACAGGUGAAAUUGUGACUCUUGGAUGUUCAUCCAGCCAACAGUUAUGAGUGUCAUCAUCGCACAUGGACAGAGAACUCUGGUGAGGUCCUGAAUCUUGUACACGGACAUAGUCCACAGUUGGAAUUUUGACUGUCAUGUGUAGAUCCAGCCACAGGUGUGAUGUUGACCUGUUUAUGGAGUUAGCUCACAGGCACAGUGAGAACUCUCAUAUCUUGACCCAGUCAAUAGAAGAGAUGCUGACUCUUAUAGCUAGGCUUAAGGAAAUUAAUAGGGUCCUGGGUCUCCUACCUGUAUGAAAGUCACAGAAGAUUAUGACACUCAUGCAUAUUGUAUAAAGCCCUCUGGUGGUAUAGAGAUUAAUUAACAGGGCCCAGCACACAGGUGAGAUUGUGACUUUGUUAUGCAGACACCGCUGACAGUACCAUCACCCUCACAUAUAAACAGAGCCCACUGGUGAGGUCCUAAAUUUCAUGCCCUGACACAGUUCACAGUUGGGAUUGUGACUGUGAUAUUUCAAUCUGAUCACAGGUGAGAUGGUGACUCAUUUCUGGAUCCAGCUUAGAAAAUAGUGAAGGCUCUUUCACCUGGACUCAGCCAAAUGGAGAGACGUUGACUCUGUUAACUAGGCUUAGGGCAGCACAUAAGGUUCUAGGUCUCCUGCUUGCAUAAAGGUAGCAGAGGAUUAUGACACUAUACAUAUUGUACAAAGUCCCCCAUUGGUCCUGAGAGGGUCAUAACAGGGUCUGGCACACAGGUGAGACUGUGACUCUGGUAUGCACACAGGCAGAGUAAGGAUUAUCAACCUCCUACAUGGACACAGCCCACUGUUGAGAUUCUGAAUCUCACAACCAGAAGCAGUCAAAAGUUGGAGUUGUGACUCUCAUAGGUGGAUGUGGUCCACAGCUGAGAUGAUGACCUCAGACCAGGAGGCAGCACACCUGGAGGCUGUGACUCCUCUACCGAGAUGCAGUCUGCAGGUGUGAUUGUGGCUGUCAUGCACAAAUCCAGUCCACCUUUGACAUUGUGACACCCUUACUGAGACCCAGUUCACAGGAGGAGUUCACUCUGAUACAUAGAGCU
rnacentral:lncRNA from 1 species